rnacentral:rRNA from 1 species
CUACGUCACUCCUACGGGAGGCAGCAGUGGGGGAAUAUUGCACAAUGGGCGCAAGCCUGAUGCAGCCAUGCCGCGUGUAUGAAGAAGGCCUUCGGGUUGUAAAGUACGUUUCAGCAGUUGAGGAAGGUGGGUAUGUUAAUAGCAUAUUCAUUUGACGUUUAGCUGCAGAGAAGCACCGGCUAACUCCGUGCCAGCAGCCGCGGUAAUACGGAGGGUGCGAGCGUUAAUCGGAAUUACUGGGCGUAAAGCGCAUGCAGGUGGUUUGUUAAGUCAGAUGUGAAAGCCCCGGGGCUCAACCUCGGAAUUGCAUUUGAUACUGGCAAACUAGAGUACUGUAGAGGGGGUAGAAUUUCAGGUGUAGCGGUGAAAUGCGUAGAGAUCUGAAGGAAUACCGGUGGCGAAGGCGGCCCCCCUGGACAGAUACUGACACUCAGAUGCGAAAGCGUGGGGAGCAAACAGGAUUAGAUACCCCUGGUAG